rnacentral:rRNA from 1 species
GAUGAACGCUAGCGACAGGCUUAACACAUGCAAGUCGAGGGGCAGCGGGGGAGAAAGCUUGCUUUCUCCUGCCGGCGACCGGCGCACGGGUGAGUAACACGUAUGCAACCUGGCCGUCACAGGUGGAUAACCGGAAGAAAUUCCGACUAAUACAGCAUAACACUCCUGAGGGACAUCCUUCGGGAGUCAAAGGAGGCGACUCCGGUGACGGAUGGGCAUGCGGCGCAUUAGGUAGUUGGUAGGGUAACGGCCUACCAAGCCGACGAUGCGUAGGGGUUCUGAGAGGAAGGUCCGCCACAUUGGAACUGAGACACGGUCCAA